rnacentral:rRNA from 1 species
AGUGAACGCUGGCGGUAGGCCUAACACAUGCAAGUCGAACGGCAGCACAGGAGAGCUUGCUCUCUGGGUGGCGAGUGGCGGACGGGUGAGGAAUACAUCGGAAUCUACUCUGUCGUGGGAGAUAACGUAGGGAAACUUACGCUAAUACCGCAUACGACCUACGGGUGAAAGCAGGGGAUCUACGGACCUUGCGCGAUUGAAUGAGCCGAUGUCGGAUUAGCUAGUUGGCGGGGUAAAGGCCCACCAAGGCGACGAUCCGUAGCUGGUCUGAGAGGAUGAUGAGCCACACGGGAACUGAGACACGGUCCAGACUCCUACGGGAGGCAGCAGUGGGGAAUAUUGGACAAUGGGCGCAAGCCUGAUUCAGCCAUACCGCGUGGGUGAAGAAGGCCUUCGGGUUGUAAAGCCCUUUUGUUGGGGAAGAAAUCCAGCUGGCUAAUACCCGGUUGGGAUGACGGUACCCAAAGAAUAAGCACCGGCUAACUUCGUGCCAGCAGCCGCGGUAA